AAUUUUAUUGCAUUUCAAUGGCAGUAAUCGGUAGCUUACAAUUUUUUACAUCCAUUCUGAAAAUUUGGCUGCAAUCGAUUCAGGCAUUUGAUCAAACGGAGUUCUUGGUACUUUUUGACAGAAUUUCAAUAGCUGUUACAGCAGACGAUAAUACAGAGACAAGUGACACUUUUGUGACAGGGAUAUAAACGUUAUGUGGCAAUCGACUUGAAGCCCGUAUGAUAAAAUAAAAUUGUAGUCAAAGUAUUAGUGCUGUGUUCUAUGUCGGUAAGAGUUCAAAACUUAUCAUCUAUAUGGAGAAUCAUUCAUGAUUCAACGAUAGAACUAUAAGUCGUUCACUGGGUGUUUUCAAAAAAACACCAUCAAUCUCCAUUUUAGGUAGCUGCAUAUAGUGUGGGCAAUAACUCCAAUCCUUCAUUUAAGUCCCUGGGAUCUUAUCGACUAGUGCUGUUAACUAGACUUUGUUACCAGCACGACUGCACUAAUUUCCACCAUCACUCUAAAGUUAAAAACAUAAAGGAUCAUUGAAUGAUAGAUGUCACUGUGUGCUGUUAUUGACAAACACAAUCAAUCUUCAGUUAAAGAAUUUUGGCCAAACAUCCACAUUGUUGACACAGCAAAAUAUUUCAAGUUCCCUACUUCAAUUAUGAACUCACUACCUAGUUCUGCAAAAAAGGUCUCAGCGUUUAAGAGAUUUGAAAGACGAUUGGGAUCUCCCACUCCCAGCUGGCGUUUCACAGCUGACGCUUUCAUAAGUUAAACGGACUUAUGGGAGAACGUGUAAAAACCUACAUUAGUCACUGAAACCAGUAGAAGCUAGAAGAAAGCAGUAGUGUCUCUAUUGAAUAUGAUGAGAUUGUUGGGCUAUCUGUAGCUUGCCUAUCGAAUAUUGAAGCUUAUUCGACUAGAACACCCACAGCAUCGAUUGAAGAUAGUCACAGC